rnacentral:rRNA from 1 species
UACAGAGGGUGCGAGCGUUAAUCGGAAUUACUGGGCGUAAAGCGUGCGUAGACGGUUAUUUAAGUCGGGUGUGAAAGCCCCGGGCUCAACCUGGGAAUUGCAUUCGAGACUGAAUAGCUAGGGUACGGUAGAGGGAAGUGGAAUUUCCGGUGUAGCGGUGAAAUGCGUAGAUAUCGGAAGGAACAUCAGUGGCGAAAGCGGCUUCCUGGUCCAGCACCGACGUUCAGGCACGAAAGCGUGGGGAGCAAACAGG